GGAGCCGAAGGGAAACCGAGUCUUAACUGGGCGUUAAGUUGCAGGGUAUAGACCCGAAACCCGGUGAUCUAGCCAUGGGCAGGUUGAAGGUUGGGUAACACUAACUGGAGGACCGAACCGACUAAUGUUGAAAAAUUAGCGGAUGACUUGUGGCUGGGGGUGAAAGGCCAAUCAAACCGGGAGAUAGCUGGUUCUCCCCGAAAGCUAUUUAGGUAGCGCCUCGUGAAUUCAUCUCCGGGGGUAGAGCACUGUUUCGGCAAGGGGGUCAUCCCGACUUACCAACCCGAUGCAAACUGCGAAUACCGGAGAAUGUUAUCACGGGAGACACACGGCGGGUGCUAACGUCCGUCGUGAAGAGGGAAACAACCCAGACCGCCAGCUAAGGUCCCAAAGUCAUGGUUAAGUGGGAAACGAUGUGGGAAGGCCCAGACAGCCAGGAUGUUGGCUUAGAAGCAGCCAUCAUUUAAAGAAAGCGUAAUAGCUCACUGGUCGAGUCGGCCUGCGCGGAAGAUGUAACGGGGCUAAACCAUGCACCGAAGCUGCGGCAGCGACGCUUAUGCGUUGUUGGGUAGGGGAGCGUUCUGUAAGCCUGUGAAGGUGUGCUGUGAGGCAUGCUGGAGGUAUCAGAAGUGCGAAUGCUGACAUAAGUAACGAUAAAGCGGGUGAAAAGCCCGCUCGCCGGAAGACCAAGGGUUCCUGUCCAACGUUAAUCGGGGCAGGGUGAGUCGACCCCUAAGGCGAGGCCGAAAGGCGUAGUCGAUGGGAAACAGGUUAAUAUUCCUGUACUUGGUGUUACUGCGAAGGGGGGACGGAGAAGGCUAUGUUGGCCGGGCGACGGUUGUCCCGGUUUAAGCGUGUAGGCUGGUUUUCCAGGCAAAUCCGGAAAAUCAAGGCUGAGGCGUGAUGACGAGGCACUACGGUGCUGAAGCAACAAAUGCCCUGCUUCCAGGAAAAGCCUCUAAGCAUCAGGUAACAUCAAAUCGUACCCCAAACCGACACAGGUGGUCAGGUAGAGAAUACCAAGGCGCUUGAGAGAACUCGGGUGAAGGAACUAGGCAAAAUGGUGCCGUAACUUCGGGAGAAGGCACGCUGAUAUGUAGGUGAAGUCCCUCGCGGAUGGAGCUGAAAUCAGUCGAAGAUACCAGCUGGCUGCAACUGUUUAUUAAAAACACAGCACUGUGCAAACACGAAAGUGGACGUAUACGGUGUGACGCCUGCCCGGUGCCGGAAGGUUAAUUGAUGGGGUCAGCGCAAGCGAAGCUCUUGAUCGAAGCCCCGGUAAACGGCGGCCGUAACUAUAACGGUCCUAAGGUAGCGAAAUUCCUUGUCGGGUAAGUUCCGACCUGCACGAAUGGCGUAAUGAUGGCCAGGCUGUCUCCACCCGAGACUCAGUGAAAUUGAACUCGCUGUGAAGAUGCAGUGUACCCGCGGCAAGACGGAAAGACCCCGUGAACCUUUACUAUAGCUUGACACUGAACAUUGAGCCUUGAUGUGUAGGAUAGGUGGGAGGCUUAGAAGUGUGGACGCCAGUCUGCAUGGAGCCGACCUUGAAAUACCACCCUUUAAUGUUUGAUGUUCUAACGUUGACCCGUAAUCCGGGUUGCGGACAGUGUCUGGUGGGUAGUUUGACUGGGGCGGUCUCCUCCUAAAGAGUAACGGAGGAGCACGAAGGUUGGCUAAUCCUGGUCGGACAUCAGGAGGUUAGUGCAAUGGCAUAAGCCAGCUUGACUGCGAGCGUGACGGCGCGAGCAGGUGCGAAAGCAGGUCAUAGUGAUCCGGUGGUUCUGAAUGGAAGGGCCAUCGCUCAACGGAUAAAAGGUACUCCGGGGAUAACAGGCUGAUACCGCCCAAGAGUUCAUAUCGACGGCGGUGUUUGGCACCUCGAUGUCGGCUCAUCACAUCCUGGGGCUGAAGUAGGUCCCAAGGGUAUGGCUGUUCGCCAUUUAAAGUGGUACGCGAGCUGGGUUUAGAACGUCGUGAGACAGUUCGGUCCCUAUCUGCCGUGGGCGCUGGAGAACUGAGGGGGGCUGCUCCUAGUACGAGAGGACCGGAGUGGACGCAUCACUGGUGUUCGGGUUGUCAUGCCAAUGGCACUGCCCGGUAGCUAAAUGCGGAAGAGAUAAGUGCUGAAAGCAUCUAAGCACGAAACUUGCC
rnacentral:rRNA from 1 species